rnacentral:rRNA from 1 species
UUCAAUACUGUCGCAAUACAGUGUGCACUUUUCUCUUAGUAAGACGUUGUGAUCCAUUAGGAAAAUGAAUGUCCCCUGUGUGCAUUCAAUGAGGCUAUCAAUAGACUGUGGUAUGAAGUUUACAAAUUGUUAAACAAUAUGGUCACUUUUAAAAUGACUAUGUAUAUUAACUUGUAAGCAUACUCUGUGCUGUCCAAUAGCUGUCUGAUGGAUUUUAAAGGUCAUAUCAUUAAUAUGUAUAUAUUACUUGAGUUUAUUCUCGAGAACGAGAUAUGUACCCGAUCAACAACGGUUAAAUUUGGGAUACCUUUUGGACCCGUCUUGAAACACGGACCAAGGAGUCUAUCUAGUAUGCGAGUAAAUGGGUAUGAGUGAAACCUAUUUGCAUAAAUAACUUGACUGUUGUUUAAACAUGGGAUUACGUUCAAAUGCCACUGUGUUUUUGUACUUCCAUCCCGGGGUAUUUUCAUAACUAUAUGUAGAAUUUCGGUUUUGCAUGUAAGAAAAUAUACCAUGAGCAUACUGGAUAUGACCCGAAAGAUGGUGAACUAUGCCUGAUCAGGUUGAAGUCAGGGGAAACCCUGAUGGAGGACCGAAGCAAUUCUGACGUGCAAAUCG